rnacentral:rRNA from 1 species
UACGGAGGGUGCAAGCGUUAUCCGGAUUUAUUGGGUUUAAAGGGUCCGUAGGCGGACGUAUAAGUCAGUGGUGAAAUCCUGCAGCUCAACUGUAGAACUGCCAUUGAUACUGUAUGUCUUGAAUUCGGUUGAAGUGGGCGGAAUAUGACAUGUAGCGGUGAAAUGCUUAGAUAUGUCAUAGAACACCGAUUGCGAAGGCAGCUCACUAAGCCUGGAUUGACGCUGAGGGACGAAAGCGUGGGUAGCGAACAGGAUUAGAAACCCCCGUAGUCC